AGCAUCACCGAACGAAUGUGUAUUUACAGCCGUGAGCUGGCCAAGGGUUCGUAGAGUGAAAAAAGUAGUAACAAAAGGUAGGAGAAACUAAGCUAUAAAAAGCAGAGCGCGCGGACUCCUCACCGGGGACGAUAAGAAUAUUUUUAUGACAGUGGCGCCUCACGGUAGCGGACAGCGGAACAACUACCGAAGCUACUUUCCGGUCGGAGAGUUGGCUCCGCCCACCGAACGCACCUGGCGGGGGGACGCUCCCCACUCUGUAUAAAAGCCGCGCGCGCCCGCCGUUCCGCUCAGGCCGCUGCCGCUCAGCUUAGUGACCACUUCGUGAGGCGCUCAGCUUCGAGUUUCCCGCUGCACUCCCUAAACCCCCGCCCGAACUCCGCACCCAUUUCAUCCCGUUUCAUCUGUUUCCUAGUUUCCAAGGGACGCUGAAGUUUGUCACCAUGAAAGCCCAGAUCAGCCGUAGAUCAGUCAGCAGCCAGGACAAGGUGGCGAAGGGUCGCAUCGAUCGGAACGAGAGUGACCUGAACCACGGAUCGGCGCUGGCCUUACUUGAAAAACUGGCUCAACUGGUGCCCAGCACGGACCGCUGCAAGAAGCCCACCAAGCUGGAGAUCAUGCAGGAGGUCAUCGACUACAUCCUCGACCUGGAGCUGACCCUGAAGACGCAGCCUGCGAGCUUUGCGCCGUGCCCGAUGACAUUUGAGAUCAGUCCGGCGCAGUAGUCUGGUGGCUGUCCACUUCCGUCAGCAACGUAAGGGCACGCACGUGCCCAAAAGAAAAGGUGACACAUGCGGACAAUGUCACUCACCGCUUGGCCAUGUUCACGCUUGGAGCAGCGCCUUCGCCAACUCCUGCUUCAAGCUUCGACUUAUGGGCCACCGAGACAGGAGUCUCUUAUCGGCUGCUUUUCUUCGGAGAAGCUGUUCUCCGACGCCUCAGAUUUUCGAAUAGCCCCUGGGUGCUCCUCAUGGCCUGUCACCCAGUUAACCACCGUGCAAGCUCUGGCAGUGCAAGAUUCUGACCGUCCCUUCUGCUACGUCUUCUGACAAGGAUCGUGGGAGAAAUCCGGAACACCGUGAAAAUACCGCGGACAAGACGCAUUCCGCACCAUUUCACAAGGCUUCAGCCAUCGCUCAGGUUGAAGUGUGCUUUCUACCAGCUGAAAGCAACAUGCCUGGAUUACUUGGAGCAAUCGGCUUGGCUUCUGCCCCCCUGCUGCUGCUGCCACUGCUGCUCCUAUUUGCAGUGUGUUGACAUUAACAGCCACUGUUCACACGCUGCUUCCAUCUGAACAUGGACCCCUCACGAUCUCUGGAUUCUCAAACGAGGAACGUCUUGCAUAUUUGGUCUACUGAGCAGCGGAAGAGGUUGAGAACCUGGCUCGAACCAGCACGUGCGGUAUCUACAGCUCAUCGACAUGUCCACAAGAGCUGUGCAUAUGAAGCCGCUGAGGAGUACAUGGAUGGUGACUCGGCAACCAAACGAAUCGACCAUUUCUGACAUGGACUGCAAGGGCAGAAAUAAAUAUAUUCUUGUC